GGCUCAGGAUGAACGCUAGCGGCAGGCCUAAUACAUGCAAGACGAACGGUAAGUUGAGUAGCAAUACUUAGCCAAGAGUGUCGUACGGGUGCGUAACACGUAUGCAACCUACCCUAUACAGGAGGAUAGCCUAGGGAAACCUGGAUUAACCCUUCAUAGUAUUAUUGGAUGGCAUCAUUUGAUAAUUAAAACUGAGGUGGUAUAGGAUGGGCAUGCGUCUGAUUAGUUAGUUGGCGGGGUAAUGGCCCACCAAGACGAUGAUCAGUAGGGGUUCUGAGAGGAAGAUCCCCCAUACUGGCACUGAGAUACGGGCCAGACUCCUACGGGAGGCAGCAGUAGGGAAUAUUGGGCAAUGGACGCAAGUCUGACCCAGCCAUGCCGCGUGCAGGAUGAAGGCGUUAUGCGUUGUAAACUGCUUUAUACAGGAAGAAACGACUCUUGCGAGAGGCAUUGACGGUACUGUAUGAAUAAGCACCGGCUAACUACGUG
rnacentral:rRNA from 1 species